rnacentral:tRNA from 1 species
GAGCCCGGGGCGCGGCGUACGCCACGGGCGCUGCCUUCGCCCUGGCGGGCGGCCUCAACGUCCUGGCCGUUCGCCGCCGCUUCGGCGCCC